AACGUUUCGCUAGUCAGUCAUCAGCGCUACAGACUGGGAGCAGCUCAAGCCUUUCAUGAGAGUUCUUCCUUUGGGGGUUUGUGUGUGUCAUCUCAUUAGAGGAGUUUGCCAGCUCCUACAUCGGCAGUCCUCCCGUAGACACGCUGCAGUGUAAUAGACAGACUCUGAUAUUAUGAAAUGGAGAUUAUGGGUGUGGAAAAAUGUGACUUUCUGGAGUCCUCAACAGAACAACAAGUUAAGAUGCAGGAAUGUUAUACAGAGCAAACUUCGGAGUGUCCAGCACAGUAAAUAAGAGGUCCUACCUUCAUGGGGUCGCUAGGCAACAUGCAUGCCAGCAAGCACCACUGUGGUAAGUUCUCAGCAAGGUGAAAAACCAGAGGUGAAACAUAAACUAGAAUCUAGGUGUUAGGAUUUAAUGAGUCAAUAUUUGGGCAGGAAAACAGAUAUCCAGAGAGAGGAAGUGACUCUUUUUGUUUGUUUGUUUUACGGUUCUGGGAUUGUAGCUAGUGCCUUUUGCAUCCGAGGCAAUCACUCCACUGCUGUGCCUAUCCCCCAGUUCUAUUUUGUAGUUUUGUUUACACGUUAUUCUAAAAUGUAAAUUUCAAAGACAGUUGAAUUGGAUAACAUCCAAAGGCCUUACAAGUUAUUGACAGGAAGGGAAAUUUUUGGCAAGAAGCUGAAGUCAGACUUAAUUUGAGCUUCUUCAAAAGUGGCAUUUCUUUUGCAACAUAUCAAUGAGAAACUUUUUAAAAGAUGCCCCUCUUUAAGCUUAGCUAAGAACCUCUUGAAUUCC
rnacentral:lncRNA from 1 species